rnacentral:rRNA from 1 species
AUGACCCACUUUUUGAGGUGGAAGAGGACGGGCAGCACUCGCUUUGCAGCUUUGAAACUGGAUAUGAGCAAAGCUUAUGAUCGUGUGGAGUGGGAAUUCCUGGAGAAGAUCAUGCUCCAGCUCGGGUUUGCACCGGCGUUUGUGGCCCACAUCUGCAAGUGCAUGACCACUGUUCGAUACCGUUUCAAGAUCAAUGAUGGUUGUAUGGACACGGUGAUUCCGGGGCGGGGGUUGAGGCAAGGAGAUCCGGCCUCGCCGUAUCUCUCUCUGAUUUGUGCAGAAGGGCUCUCGUCUUUGAUCAACCGGGCGGAGGAGUUGGGCCGGCUUCGGGGUAUAAGGAUUGCACCUACUGCACCGUCCAUAACCCACCUGCUCUUUGCUGACGACUCACUCCUUCUCAUGGAGGCUACGGAGGAGAGUAUGGCCACCAUAAAUGAGAUCCUAGAGGUUUAUGAAAGGGGAUCGGGUCAAACGAUCAACCGGGACAAAUCGGCAAUACAGUUCAGCAAGAACACUCCAGUCCAGAAGAAACAAGUGUUGCUCCACAGUUUGGGCCUGAGAGGAGAAGGAAUGCAAGGGAAGUAUAUAGGCCUCCCUAGUUACGUGGGUAGAUCCUGGCAGUUAUGCUUCGAGUACAUCCGGGACAAAAUCUGGGAGCUACUCCAAGGGUACAAGAUUAGGCUCUUAUCAAAGAAGGGGAAGGAGAUUUUGAUCAAAACAGUGGCCCAAGCUAUCCCCACGUAUGCCAUGGCCUGCUUUGAUCUGACGAAGGGCCUUUGCGAUGAUAUCUGCGCUAUGAUAUGCCGGUUCUGGUGGGCAAACCAAGAUGAUGAACAUAAACACCACUAG